rnacentral:lncRNA from 10 species
AGUUGGUCAGGGACACAAGCCCAGAAGCCUGUCCCAGUGGCCCAGAUGGGUUUGUCUUCCAGCAAGUCUCUGCACAGAUGGGAUAGUUUCCAAAUGCAGCAGGAGGAGCCAAGGCUGAGACCGGAGCCCUUCAGGACUUGACGUGGGGCAGAGCUGGCAAGCCCACCUCAUUGGUUCAGAUGGGAGUGUGUCUCCCAGCAGGUCUCUGCACAAAUUAGUUUCCUGACUACAGCAGGAGGAACUGGAGCUGAGACUGGGCCCUUUUGGGAUCUGCUGGAGGAUGAUGGCUGAAGAGCUCAUCUCAUUGGCUCAGAAGGGCAUGUAUCUCCCAGUAGAUCCCUGCACAGGCGUUGUAUCUUCUAAGAAAUGUCCCCCAUUCCAGCUCUGUACAUAAGGUUUCUACUAGGAACCUAUCUCCAGAGCGACAGUUCAUUGAUUGGCCCAGAAAGGAGUGCAUGACCAAAGCAAAGACAAUGAGUUACUUCCCUGGAUAUUGGAACUUGGAACCAUGACAAUAAGAGGAGUUUCCCUGAGGGUGCUGAACAUUCUGAGCACGUAAGCAGUGAAGCCCAUGAGCCACUAGAAGCCACAUGUUCUGCCAUGUGGAGAAGAAUGGUAAGUGUUAAGAGAGAAAAAAUAUACCUGUGUGCAGAGAGAAGUGAGGCUUAGAGGCAGCUGGAUAAACACUCAUAGAGCAACAGAUUUGAGAGAGAUUUGCAAACUAUAAGGCUACUCGAGAGGCAUCACUCUGAGAUAAACUCAGACGGCUGGUGUGCUGCAGUAAAUACUAGAGCAAAACUGCCUACUUUGAAGAUAGCGAAUGAGACUUAACCAUGAGCAGUUGCCAAUAGAACCUGGGAGCUCUUUGCAUUGGUAUCAGUGUUCAGACAGAAGACCGUGGCCAUUUGAACACUGAUCCACUGAGAAUAUAGAACAGUGUGGUGACAACAAAUAGAGUGAAGUCAAGAUGAGAAAAGAGAACAUGAACAUGGACCAUGCUACCGUAGCUUGGUUUUAUGCAGAGGGACAUGUGGCUAGUACGUGGACAUGACUGAAUUGAUUUUAUAUCAUGCUUAUGUCGACUAUGUAAUAAAUUUAAUGUAAUUUUACUUCACAGGAUAGAUUUAGUGAUUCAUAAUCAAUCACUGUAAUACUCAAAAGACAUGAUUGGAUUAACCCUACAAGGUAUAGUUACAGAUACCUGACCCUAGAAGAUUGCAAAUGCCAAUGUCAACAGCAUUCCGAUUUUCAGAGUAUGAAUGAAGCAAGGGAUAAACAGUCCUUCUUACAGGAUGGCUCAGUCCUGUCAAGAAAGUCCUUCUUACAGGAUGGCUCAGUCCUGUCAAGAUGUGCUCUGCAUCCCUGUCCUUUAAUCCUACUGACUCAGUCACACUUAUAAACACUUCUGUGUUUAUAACUUCUUUCCCAUCUCCUCUCCCUGGAGUAACUUUCUAUCUCCCACCACCCCACCUGGUAAAUUUUAUCUAUUUUUUAAUUUCCUACUCAAAUAUCAUCAAUGUGAUGUUUUCCCCUAUACCCCAGGCAAUCCGAGUAGCUCUGAAUCCUGUGAUCAGCCACUUCUAUGAAACAUUUACUGCAGUUGUCACAUUGCCUUCAAUUACAUGUUUACGUGUCUGUCUUUCCCAGCUGUGUUGUAUUCAUCUCUGUGCUCCCCAGAUCUAGCACACUGCCUGUACUGAAUGGUUAUUAAGUGAAAGCAAUGAAAUAAUUAAUCCCUAACUACUAUGCAUUACAAUAAUGGUUAUAGUUUUUUAAUUUGUGACAAAAUAAACUUUGCUGUAA